rnacentral:rRNA from 1 species
UACGUAGGGAGCAAGCGUUGUCCGGAAUCAUUGGGCGUAAAGCGCGCGUAGGCGGCCCGAUAAGUCCGCUGUAAAAGUCAACGGCUCAACUGUUGAAAGCCGGUGGAUACUGUCGGGCUAGAGUACGGAAGAGGCAAGUGGAAUUCCUGGUGUAGCGGUGGAAUGCGCAGAUAUCAGGAGGAACACCAGUGGCGAAGGCGGCAGCCUGGACCGAUACUGACGCUGAGGUGCGAAAGCGUGGGGAGCGAACAGG